AUCCAGCUGACGAGUUACAAAUAGGACGAAACGUGCGUCUUGGAU
rnacentral:hammerhead_ribozyme from 1 species